rnacentral:rRNA from 1 species
UCGAGAAUCUUCGGCAAUGGGCGAAAGCCUGACGCAGCGACGCCGCGUGAGUGAUGAAGGCCUUCGGGUUGUAAAGCUCUGUGGGGAGAGAAGAAUAAGUGCGGGCUAAUACCCCGCAUGAUGACGGUAUCUCCUUAGCAAGCACCGGCUAACUCUGUGCCAGCAGCCGCGGUAAGACAGAGGGUGCAAACGUUGUUCGGAAUUACUGGGCGUAAAGCGAGUGUAGGCGGUUUGGUAAGUCGGAUGUGAAAGCCCCGGGCUCAACCCGGGAAGUGCAUUCGAUACUGCCAAGCUAGAGUAUCGGAGAGGUUGGUGGAAUUCUCGGUGUAGAGGUGAAAUUCGUAGAUAUCGAGAGGAACACCGGUGGCGAAGGCGGCCAACUGGACGAAUACUGACGCUGAGACUCGAAAGCGUGGGGAGCAAACAGGAUUAGAUACCCCAGUAGUCCCUGAGCGGGCUGGCAAGGCGCAU